GACCCGACUGCGCACGCGCGGACGAAAACUCCAUGAUUUUUUUUUUUUGGCACGGGAUCCUAAGGAAAGAUAGGAACUUGGAAACGAAGAUAAACUGAAAGCAGCAUCACCACAAAGGCAUUAUCAGUCCCUCGCUCGCAUAUGCACGCAGUGAAGACGCUUGGGAGGGCGCCGAAGCGUUGAAUGAAGCGAGCGCACGAGCAGGAUUCACACGGAAUUGGACAACAAUGCACGGGGCGCAAUAAAACCAAGCGUUAUUGCUCUUUGUUUUUAAGCAGGACGGCUCGGAUGGUGCGCGGGGAUGUGGCUGAAAACCACCCUGCGUUAGUAACAGCUCGCGCAACGGCGACAUUUGCGACUCGAGUCCGUCUUGACGCUUGCUCGGUCUUCAGUCUGCGCCACGAAGAAGCAGGAAACUUCGUAAACACAGAGAUUGUCAGCUUCUGGAGAGUUCCAUAGAAGCAUCCCAGUCCGUUUGAGAGGACCGGAGAGGAUUGCGUGUCAAUUUGUUGUAUUGCUUUGUGCUUCGUUAAUGCUGUGUAAACGUCCUCCAAAGAGUGUCUUUCACGAUUGGUGCUGACCAAGGCUGUAUAAAAAUGAAAAGGAGCUGGAUGUGCGCGAGCAGAAAAUGACGGGGGGCAGUGAGAGUGCAGCAGGAGAAAAAGAUGGAGGUACGACUCUCAUCGCUCAGAUCCCGGUUGGCUGGCAGAGGAAGGUGGAAGCUGGGGCUGUGUCUUACAUCAGCCCGAGUGGUACAGUCCUUCGAUCUGUGGAUGAGUUGAGGGUGUAUCUGCGGACAGACGGCACAUGUAAGUGUGGUCUCGAGUGCCCGCUAGUCCCAAAUAAGGUCUUUAAUUUUGACCCUGCUGCGGUGGUCCAAGCUCCUGGUCAUCAGUCGGGGAAAAUAGAGGAAGACAUGACCAAACUCUGUAACCAUCGCAGGAAAGUUGAUGCCAUGGCAGCGUUAUGCCAAAGCAUGCAGCCCUCCCAUCUUCCCUCGCCGGCUCAAGCCACAGGAGGUGUUGUAUGCUCAGUGGAUGGCAGAGAGCUGAGAGGAUCAAUGGUGGCUCAUGGAGACGGCACCCACUGCACUUACCCUCAGCAAAGACACAACCAUCCCAAAUCCAACAUUGGCUUUCCUUUGUCCUCUCCACGUGCUGUUGUGCAAAAUGGUUCUGUUAGCCUUGCCUCUAUUUCUCAGCCUCUAGAACAGAGUUCACCUUUAAAGAAACCUCAAACGACAGUGGGCUGCAUGCUUGGUUACGCGAAACAGCAGUGGAGCCCUCAUCCACCGCAAAGGACACUGCACAGCCCCACUUCUCCUAACAGUGUAAAACCAGGUGUACACACGCAUAUGCAUCCUCCAGACCCCUCCAGUUCCUAUUCCUUAUCCCCCACUUCAUCCUUUGCGCUGAGUGGUCGAGCAGCUCCGCCACACUCCCAGGGAGCGAGUGUUAAGUCGCCCUCUCCUCUGUCACCCUCACGUACCUUGGACACUUUCUCACCCCACCAACGCUCUCGCCACUCUUCGACGUCCUCGCUCUCAGAACACGGGGCCCAAGGGUCCGUCUUCAUUCAGGGGGGCAAACCGUUGCAGCCCACCAUGGCGUGCUCCUCUCCCAAGCUUCCUCUUGCGCCUUCCAGUCCAUGUAGUCGCUUGGAGGGCAUCCUGCAGCACUACAAAGACUGUAGUACCUCCAACACAAGCUCCAGUGCUAAUUCUAGCAACCAAAGCAACCAUCAGAUGUCACAAGCCCUGUCGUUGGUGCAUCCCAACGCAGGCGACAAGAGGAACGGAGUGAGUUCUGCUCAAGCCCCAGGACUGCUUGGCCUUCCACUAGGACAGAUUCUCAACCAACAGAAAAGCCAGCAAAAGGGCCACAUCAAUAACUCUUUCCCGGCCAGCAGCCUCCUCUCUGCGGCCGCCAAAGCCCAGCUGGCCAACCAGAAAACCCAGCUCAAUGCAGCCGAUGCGCUGGCCGCACUCCCUCUUACGAGCUUGGACAAGGAACAGCAGUCAAAGGUAUUGAUUAGCACUUUAAACAGUAGCGUCCACCCAACUUCUGCCAGAGCACAGUCCCUGACCGCCCUGUUGCUUCCAAACUCCCCUUCCCUUUCCCCGGCUUCCCCUGCUGUCGCUAAGAAAAAUUUGCGGCGCAAACGGCAGAGGCGCUCGUCCACCGUUUUGAGCAUGCUCAAAGACUCGCAGUUAGGUCUGACUGCAGGAGAUCUCGCUGGGUCGCCUCUGCUUAUCUCCCCAUGCCUGUUGCCGCCACCUCCUCCUGUACCUCACUUAGACAACCACCGGCUACCUGUCGCUCUUCCGAAUGCCUCCAGGUUGCAGGAUUCGGAGGAAGGCAGGAAGCCAGGACUUGCUAAUUCCCUCCCACUUUCCUCCCCAUCUCCAUCCCAGCCCCUUUCCACCCUGCUUCAGCUUCUUAGCAUGCAAAGUGCAACCCAGCAAUCCAGCGGCGCCACUGCCAUGCCUGGCAACAGGCACACAAGCACGUUGCCCUCUUCACCGAGACCAAUCACUCCACAGACGCCCCAGUGCAACGUGCAGUCCACAUUACGUUUUCUCAACCCCACCCCGCAACCUCAACCCCAAAGCACAGUGCCCAUGCCAGAACCUCCUAUCCAGCAACCCCCAUCCCAACCCUUUCCUUUGAUGGGUGACGAGACAACAAUGAACCUCAAAACAACCUCCAAUAACACCAUUCUGAACUUGAGCCAGCCCCACAAUGGCACAACGUCGGACCUCAACAGUUCAAUUCUGAGCAUGAUGAACCAGAUGUCCUCAACAUGCUUUCCCUCAUUCCUGGACAAAGGUUGUGGACCCAAAACAACAGAGACUUGUCCUGACCACAGUACCUACCAAAUUAACCAGUCAAACCACAACCAAGCUGUGGAAAGUAAAGGUCCUGUAGAGAUGAUGGAUCAGCCGGACUCAGACACAAGAUUGCUGGGUGGCUGUGAGCCCGACCACAGCCUCUCUCUGCCCAAUGCCCCCUCUUCUGACGUUUCUAAUCCCUCAACCGACCCCGCUUUUUCCCUUGCAGAGGCUUUUCCCUUCAUGUCCCAAGAACAGCUCCUCCAGCUGCUUUCCUCCAACGCCGGUCUGCCUUCCCUGCUGCCGCCCUUCCUUGGCUCCCUGCCUUUAGGGGUCUGGACGAGCAGCCAACCUUCUGCGCCCGGCAGCAACCAAGCCCAGCAUCAACAGCCAGCCAGUGCUAUCCUAAACCAGGGCUCUCCUCUCAAUGUCCUAAACCAGGGCGAGCUUCCUCUCAACCUCAUGAGCCUGUUAAAUCCGUCAGGUUCUGCUGCGCCGCUGCCCCCUGUUGCAGGGCUGGAAGGUGGUGAAAAACCCCCUGGGCUUCAAGCCCUCCUCAUGGCAUCGUUGCUGCUCGGCCAGAAUCCGGCUGCCAUGUUGCCACUACCAGCGCUCAACCUGGAGCUUCCUACGCCACCGCAGCAGGUCUUUGCGGACGGAGUGUCCCUGGAGAAGACCCCCGCUCUGCUGGACUCGGUCCUGAUGGGGCCGGGGCUACUGGAGGCUCUUCAAACUCUAGCACCCAGUGCAGACGGCCAGUCGCUACUUCUUUCCGCCUCCCUCACUCCACCCCCUCACGCCUUCUUGUCCCUCAACCCUGCUCUGCUGGCCGCAGCUCUCGCCCAGACCGAACCCCUACCCAACCACGCACCAUCCCCCCCACCUCAUUCUCAGGGGACUCUGUCCAGCCCUGCUCUGAUUUCUACCUCGGUGUCCUGCGGCCCUCUGGUGUCCAGCACGGGGCCGGAAGUGUGUGACCCUCUGGCUGAGCAGGACAAGAACAACACCCAGACACCUCAUUUCCUGCCGCCUCUACUCGCCCCCGGGGUUCUUGGUGACCUCGCAGCUCUUGGGAACAUCAGCAGUCUUCACGGUUUAUUGGGAGCCGGAGCGCUGCUGCUGCCGCAGGGCCCGUCUCUGAGCGUCCCGCUAACACAGAACCAAACAGCGCUCAACCCGCUCACCUGCCUGCAGCUGACGAUGGCACCGGCGCUCAUGGGAGAGAAGACGGCUCCGUCUCAGGAGCAGCUUCCCUCGGCUCAGAUGUCCCAGGAUUCCCUGCUCAGCCCGGUCCAGACGCCGCUGCAGCAGAGAGAGACGUUUGACCCGUACGCCUCCUUCAUGGACACCAUCUACACCUCCUUCCUGCAGGUGAGCGAGCGCGACUCGUACCCCGAGCUGCCUCCGUCUCUCAGCCCGCGCCGCGCCUGUUCCGUCCACAACCCGGACCUUUCCCGCCUCGGCAUGGACACGGCCCAGUCCCCGGCCCGCGGGACGCCCAAACUCAGCGAGGACCCGCCGCCGCCCUGCAAACCUGCGCCGCUGCACCCCGCCUUCAUGGAGGAGGCCAAGACCGACCUGUGCCUCUACAGCAACGGGAUCGGCUCGGGAGCGGAUGCACGAGGAGACGAUGAAGAGGAGGAUGGACGAAGGCCGCAGGGAUAUUUGAGUUCGGGAGAGCGGCUCAGAGAAGCAGUCGAGGACGUCCGAGACGCAGAGCAAGUCGGGGCUGAAGAUGUGCACGCAGGAGCCAGAAGGGGGCGCAAGAGGAAACAGUCGCUGCAGAGAGCUGUCACCGAGGAGCCGACGAUAGCGCUGUCCAGAUCCGCGCGGCCCGCCAGAGGGAAGAGGCGCCGCGUCGUCCGAUAGAUCCCACCGUACUUUCCCGCCAACACCAGCACUGUUGCCACGGCAACACCGUCUGAGCCGCACUGUGAAGAGUCUCCGAGAUGCUCUCCUCCUCCGUCUGUUUGUGUUCGUUCACCGUCUGUUACCACCAAUGCGACUGAUGCUACAUUGUUACAUUUGCAAACCGUUACCAGGCAACCAAUGAUGACUAUUGAUAAAUUGUUGCGUGAGUUUAGGAAUAGUUAUUGUUUGUUAACUCAGUUACUUCUGCUUCUUGUUUGACGAUCAAAGGAAUAGUUCAGCCAAAAAUGUGAAAAAAUGAGCUGUAAAUGUGCUCGCCCUCGGGCCGUACGAGAUGUGGAUGAGUUUGUUUCUUCAUCAGAUUU